rnacentral:rRNA from 1 species
AUGCAUGUUACUACUCAACUUGAAUUGAAUGUUGUUGGAUUUGAUCAUAUCAAAGAUUUAUAUGAGCAUGAUGUGACUUUUGCUACUCCUUAUGCUAAGUGUGUGACGCAUACUUAUUGGGAACGAUACUAUAUCAAAGAUGGUUAUCUUAUGAGAGCUAACAAAAUAUGCAUUCCCGAGUCUUCUCUUCGUUUGUUACUUUUGCAAGAGGCUCAUGGAGGUGGACUCAUGGGACACUUUGCACGCGACAAGACUUUUGCCACGCUCUCCAAGAACUAUUUUUGGCCCAAGAUGUUUCGCGAUGUCGCCCGCUUCACCAACCGGUGCUCUACAUGUUGCAAAGCUAAGUCACAAUCUCAAUCCCAUGGUUUACAUAUGCCUUUACCUAUUCCACAUCAACCUUGGGAAGAUAUUAGCAUGGAUUUUGUGCAUGGAUUACCUAGGACUCAAAAUGGCAAGGACUCCGUUUUUGUUGUUGUGGACCGAUUCUCUAAAAUGGCUCAUUUUAUCCCAUGCAAUAAGAUAGAGAUGCUUCACAUGUUGCCAAUCUCUUUUGUAGGGAAAUCUUGA